GGACAAUUGUGGUAGAGAGAUGAAAAUAUUGGAGAGGUAAGGCCUGUCUUGCUGCUGCAUUUUGGGGUUGCUACUUUGCCUGAGUGUAUCCCUGGUGGUCUCUCUGCAAGUAGGAGCAGCAUUGAGAUCUUGGGACUGCAGCAUGGCUGAGCCUGAGGUAUCUGAAGCCCAGAUUGGUGGGAUAGAGACUGGGUUUGCGAGGGCUAAUCUGGGUUGGUGAUCCAAGAGACUUAAACACAGAGCUGAGAAACUGUUGAACACUGACAGAGACAGUUCGACUUUCCAGAAAGAUUUAUUUUAUUUUUUGAUUCACUAAUCUCUCUACCAUAUUUGGAACAGGUUGUUUUUUAUGCAUCAGUGUGUGGACGACAAUGAUAUAUGAAUGAUGUUUUGCAUUUUUUUAUGUCUUUAAUAUUUUCUUUGUUUGGAUUCUUUCCCUCUGUUGUCUAUUUUCUUGGAUUUUCUUUCCAACUUUUCUCCAACUAACAGCCAAUCUCUGUCAGCUCCUCUUCCACUCCAUUCAACUAGAUCCCACCUCCUACAGUUUGUAUUACCUCCCAACAGUCCAUUCAGGUAUGAAAUACAUCAGUGGAUCAAUUCAUUGAUGAGGUUAGAGUGCCCAUGAUAUAAUAACUUCCCCAAAGCCUCGUAUUUGAACAAUGCUGCACUAGGGUCCAAGCCUUUAACACAACACAUGAGUCUUUGGGGAACAUUCCAGAUCCCAACAUAACAUUUUACCCUCUAUCCCCACCCAAUACCACCAACCUCAUCUACUCCUUCUGUAGCCCAUGGUACCCUUUACCC
rnacentral:lncRNA from 1 species